rnacentral:rRNA from 1 species
AUUGAACGCUGGCGGCAGGCCUAACACAUGCAAGUCGAGCGGAGCGGCGGAAGGGUGAGAAAUGCCUCGGCAUCAGACUGGUAGUGGGGGCUAAAGUCAGGAAACGGGCGCUAAUACCGCAUACUAUCAGACGAGCCUAGGGCGGAUUAGCUAGUUGGGGGGUUAAAGGCCUACCAAGGCGACGAUCCGUAACUGGUCUGAGUGGAUGAUCAGUCACACUGGAACUGAGACACGGUCCAGACUCCUACGGGGUGCAGCAGUGGGGAAUAUUGGACAUAGGUCGAAAGCCUGAUCCAGCCAUGCCGCGUGUGGGAAGAAGGUCUUCGGAUUUUAAAGCACUUUAAGUUGGGAGGCGUUACCAACAGAAUAAGCACCGGCUAACUUCGUGCCAGCAGCCGCGGUAAUAC